AGAGUUUGAUCCUGGCUCAGGAUGAACGCUAGCGGCAGGCUUCAUACAUGCAAGUCGAGGGGCAGCAUAAUUACUUGUAAUUGAUGGCGACCGGCGAACGGGUGCGUAACGCGUAUGCAACUUACCUUUUACUAGAGAAUAGCCCAAGAGAAAUUUUGAUUAAUGCUCUAUGUUCUUAAAAAUUCGCAUGAAUUUUUAAGCAAAGCUCCGGCGGUAAAAGAUGGGCAUGCGUCCUAUUAGCUUGUAGGUGAGGUAACGGCUCACCUAAGCUCUGAUAGGUAGGGGUCCUGAGAGGGAGAUCCCCCACACUGGUACUGAGACACGGACCAGACUUCUACGGAAGGCAGCAGUAAGGAAUAUUGGACAAUGGAGGCAACUCUGAUCCAGCCAUGCCGCGUGCAGGAAGACGGCCUUAUGGGUUGUAAACUGCUUUUAUACAGGAAGAAACCUUUCCACGUGUGGAAAGCUGACGGUACUGUAAGAAUAAGGAUCGGCUAACUCCGUGCCAGCAGCCGCGGUAAUACGGAGGAUCCAAGCGUUAUCCGGAAUUAUUGGGUUUAAAGGGUCCGCAGGCUGUCUGUUAAGUCAGAGGUGAAAGCCUACCGCUCAACGGUAGAACUGCCUUUGAUACUGGCAGACUUGAGUUAUUGUGAAGUAGUUAGAAUGUGUAGUGUAGCGGUGAAAUGCAUAGAUAUUACACAGAAUACCGAUUGCGAAAGCAGAUUACUAACAAUAUACUGACGCUGAGGGACGAAAGCGUGGGUAGCGAACAGGAUUAGAUACCCUGGUAGUCCACGCCGUAAACGAUGGUCACUAGCUGUUUGAUGUACAUUGGUACGUUGAGUGGCUAAGCGAAAGUGAUAAGUGACCCACCUGGGGAGUACGCUCGCAAGAGUGAAACUCAAAGGAAUUGACGG
rnacentral:rRNA from 1 species